rnacentral:rRNA from 1 species
GGUUAAGCGACUAAGCGUACACGGUGGAUGCCCUGGCAGUCAGAGGCGAUGAAGGACGUGCUAAUCUGCGAUAAGCGUCGGUAAGGUGAUAUGAACCGUUAUAACCGGCGAUUUCCGAAUGGGGAAACCCAGUGUGUUUCGACACACUAUCAUUAACUGAAUCCAUAGGUUAAUGAGGCGAACCGGGGGAACUGAAACAUCUAAGUACCCCGAGGAAAAGAAAUCAACCGAGAUUCCCCCAGUAGCGGCGAGCGAACGGGGAGCAGCCCAGAGCCUGAAUCAGUGUGUGUGUUAGUGGAAGCGUCUGGAAAGGCGCGCGAUACAGGGUGACAGCCCCGUACACAAAAAUGCACAUGCUGUGAGCUCGAUGAGUAGGGCGGGACACGUGGUAUCCUGUCUGAAUAUGGGGGGACCAUCCUCCAAGGCUAAAUACUCCUGACUGACCGAUAGUGAACCAGUACCGUGAGGGAAAGGCGAAAAGAACCCCGGCGAGGGGAGUGAAAAAGAACCUGAAACCGUGUACGUACAAGCAGUGGGAGCACGCUUAGGCGUGUGACUGCGUACCUUUUGUAUAAUGGGUCAGCGACUUAUAUUCUGUAGCAAGGUUAACCGAAUAGGGGAGCCGAAGGGAAACCGAGUCUUAACUGGGCGUUAAGUUGCAGGGUAUAGACCCGAAACCCGGUGAUCUAGCCAUGGGCAGGUUGAAGGUUGGGUAACACUAACUGGAGGACCGAACCGACUAAUGUUGAAAAAUUAGCGGAUGACUUGUGGCUGGGGGUGAAAGGCCAAUCAAACCGGGAGAUAGCUGGUUCUCCCCGAAAGCUAUUUAGGUAGCGCCUCGUGAAUUCAUCUCCGGGGGUAGAGCACUGUUUCGGCAAGGGGGUCAUCCCGACUUACCAACCCGAUGCAAACUGCGAAUACCGGAGAAUGUUAUCACGGGAGACACACGGCGGGUGCUAACGUCCGUCGUGAAGAGGGAAACAACCCAGACCGCCAGCUAAGGUCCCAAAGUCAUGGUUAAGUGGGAAACGAUGUGGGAAGGCCCAGACAGCCAGGAUGUUGGCUUAGAAGCAGCCAUCAUUUAAAGAAAGCGUAAUAGCUCACUGGUCGAGUCGGCCUGCGCGGAAGAUGUAACGGGGCUAAACCAUGCACCGAAGCUGCGGCAGCGACACUAUGUGUUGUUGGGUAGGGGAGCGUUCUGUAAGCCUGUGAAGGUGUACUGUGAGGUAUGCUGGAGGUAUCAGAAGUGCGAAUGCUGACAUAAGUAACGAUAAAGCGGGUGAAAAGCCCGCUCGCCGGAAGACCAAGGGUUCCUGUCCAACGUUAAUCGGGGCAGGGUGAGUCGACCCCUAAGGCGAGGCCGAAAGGCGUAGUCGAUGGGAAACAGGUUAAUAUUCCUGUACUUGGUGUUACUGCGAAGGGGGGACGGAGAAGGCUAUGUUGGCCGGGCGACGGUUGUCCCGGUUUAAGCGUGUAGGCUGGUUUUCCAGGCAAAUCCGGAAAAUCAAGGCUGAGGCGUGAUGACGAGGCACUACGGUGCUGAAGCAACAAAUGCCCUGCUUCCAGGAAAAGCCUCUAAGCAUCAGGUAACAUCAAAUCGUACCCCAAACCGACACAGGUGGUCAGGUAGAGAAUACCAAGGCGCUUGAGAGAACUCGGGUGAAGGAACUAGGCAAAAUGGUGCCGUAACUUCGGGAGAAGGCACGCUGAUAUGUAGGUGAAGUCCCUCGCGGAUGGAGCUGAAAUCAGUCGAAGAUACCAGCUGGCUGCAACUGUUUAUUAAAAACACAGCACUGUGCAAACACGAAAGUGGACGUAUACGGUGUGACGCCUGCCCGGUGCCGGAAGGUUAAUUGAUGGGGUCAGCGCAAGCGAAGCUCUUGAUCGAAGCCCCGGUAAACGGCGGCCGUAACUAUAACGGUCCUAAGGUAGCGAAAUUCCUUGUCGGGUAAGUUCCGACCUGCACGAAUGGCGUAAUGAUGGCCAGGCUGUCUCCACCCGAGACUCAGUGAAAUUGAACUCGCUGUGAAGAUGCAGUGUACCCGCGGCAAGACGGAAAGACCCCGUGAACCUUUACUAUAGCUUGACACUGAACAUUGAGCCUUGAUGUGUAGGAUAGGUGGGAGGCUUUGAAGUGUGGACGCCAGUCUGCAUGGAGCCGACCUUGAAAUACCACCCUUUAAUGUUUGAUGUUCUAACGUGGACCCGUAAUCCGGGUUGCGGACAGUGUCUGGUGGGUAGUUUGACUGGGGCGGUCUCCUCCUAAAGAGUAACGGAGGAGCACGAAGGUUGGCUAAUCCUGGUCGGACAUCAGGAGGUUAGUGCAAUGGCAUAAGCCAGCUUGACUGCGAGCGUGACGGCGCGAGCAGGUGCGAAAGCAGGUCAUAGUGAUCCGGUGGUUCUGAAUGGAAGGGCCAUCGCUCAACGGAUAAAAGGUACUCCGGGGAUAACAGGCUGAUACCGCCCAAGAGUUCAUAUCGACGGCGGUGUUUGGCACCUCGAUGUCGGCUCAUCACAUCCUGGGGCUGAAGUAGGUCCCAAGGGUAUGGCUGUUCGCCAUUUAAAGUGGUACGCGAGCUGGGUUUAGAACGUCGUGAGACAGUUCGGUCCCUAUCUGCCGUGGGCGCUGGAGAACUGAGGGGGGCUGCUCCUAGUACGAGAGGACCGGAGUGGACGCAUCACUGGUGUUCGGGUUGUCAUGCCAAUGGCACUGCCCGGUAGCUAAAUGCGGAAGAGAUAAGUGCUGAAAGCAUCUAAGCACGAAACUUGCCCCGAGAUGAGUUCUCCCUGACUCCUUGAGAGUCCUGAAGGAACGUUGAAGACGACGACGUUGAUAGGCCGGGUGUGUAAGCGCAGCGAUGCGUUGAGCUAACCGGUACUAAUGAACCGUGAGGCUUAACCUU